GAAAUCUUACCGGGACCGACAGCAAUAUGAAGGCCAGGCUGAAGACUUUGCCGGAUUAGCUGAGAGGUGGUGCAUGGCCGUCGUCAGUUCGUACUGUGAAGCAUCCUGUUAAGUCAGGCAACGAGCGAGACCCGUGCCCACUGUUACCAGCAUGUCCUCCGGGACGAUGGGUACUCUGUGGGGACCGCCGAUGUUAAAUCGGAGGAAGGUGCGGGCUACGGUAGGUCAGUAUGCCCCGAAUUUCCCGGGCUACACGCGGGCUACAAUGAAUGGGACAAUGGGUCCCUACCCCGAGAGGGGUUGGUAAUCUCCCAAACCCAUCCGUAGUUCGGAUCGAGGGCUGUAACUCGCCCUCGUGAAGCUGGAAUCCGUAGUAAUCGCGUUUCAAUAUAGCGCGGUGAAUACGUCCCUGCUCCUUGCACACACCGCCCGUCAAACCACCCGAGUGAGGUAUGGGUGAGGGCAUAGACAUUGUGCUGUGUUCGAACCUAAAUUUUGCAAGGGGGGUUGAGUCGUAACAAGG
rnacentral:rRNA from 1 species